rnacentral:rRNA from 1 species
UAUUUUAAAGAGAGUUUGAUCCUGGCUCAGGACGAACGCUGGCGGCGUGCCUAAUACAUGCAAGUCGAACGAACGGAGGAAGAGCUUGCUCUUCCAAAGUUAGUGGCGGACGGGUGAGUAACACGUGGGCAACCUGCCUGUAAGUUGGGGAUAACUCCGGGAAACCGGGGCUAAUACCGAAUGAUAAAGUGUGGCGCAUGCCAUGCUUUUGAAAGAUGGUUUCGGCUAUCGCUUACAGAUGGGCCCGCGGUGCAUUAGCUAGUUGGUAGGGUAAUGGCCUACCAAGGCAACGAUGCAUAGCCGACCUGAGAGGGUGAUCGGCCACACUG